rnacentral:rRNA from 1 species
AGUGAACGCUGGCGGUAGGCCUAACACAUGCAAGUCGAACGGCAGCACAGUAAGAGCUUGCUCUUACGGGUGGCGAGUGGCGGACGGGUGAGGAAUACAUCGGAAUCUACUUUUUCGUGGGGGAUAACGUAGGGAAACUUACGCUAUUACCGCAUACGACCUACGGGUGAAAGCAGGGGAUCUUCGGACCUUACGCGAUUGAAUGAGCCGAUGUCGGAUUAGCUAGUUGGCGGGGUAAAGGCCCACCAAGGCGACGAUCCGUAGAUGGUCUGAGAGGAUGAUCAGCCACACUGGAACUGAGACACGGUCCAGACUCCUACGGGAGGCAGCAGUGGGGAAUAUUGGACAAUGGGCGCAAGCCUGAUCCAGCCAUACCGCGUGUGUGAAGAAGGCCUUCGGAUUGUAAAGCCCUUUUGGUGGGGAAGAAAAGCAGUAGGUUAAUACCCCGCUGUUCUGACGGUACCCAAAGAAUAAGCACCGGCUAACUUCGUG